rnacentral:tRNA from 1 species
GUUAAGAUGGCAGAGACCGGUAAUUGCGUAAACUUUAAGCCUUUACUAU